UCUGACCCUAGAGGGUUUGCCCGUAUGGCUGCUGUAUCAUAUGUGCAUAAGUAGGGGUCAGAGAGGAGAGGACUGCCUGUGCUCAGUGUUCUGACGUGUGACCAUCUGAAUGCUUAGUAGCCUAACACU
ensembl:snoRNA small nucleolar RNA SNORA17